GGUCUCUGACUUCAAGGAGCUCACAGUCUCUGGAGAGCCAUUUAGAGGUUCUGGAGCUCAAAAGCACAUCAGUGUCACCUGGAGGGCACUCACU
rnacentral:miRNA from 1 species